rnacentral:rRNA from 5 species
AUUGAACGCUGGCGGCAUGCCUUACACAUGCAAGUCGAACGGCAGCACGGGUGCUUGCACCUGGUGGCGAGUGGCGAACGGGUGAGUAAUACAUCGGAACGUACCUUAUCGUGGGGGAUAACGCAGCGAAAGCUGUGCUAAUACCGCAUACGCCCUGAGGGGGAAAGCGGGGGAUCGAAAGACCUCGCGCGAUUAGAGCGGCCGAUGCCUGAUUAGCUUGUUGGUGGGGUAAAAGCCCACCAAGGCGACGAUCAGUAGCUGGUCUGAGAGGACGAUCAGCCACACUGGGACUGAGACACGGCCCAGACUCCUACGGGAGGCAGCAGUGGGGAAUUUUGGACAAUGGGGGAAACCCUGAUCCAGCAAUGCCGCGUGAGUGAAGAAGGCCUUCGGGUUGUAAAGCUCUUUUGUCAGGGAAGAAACACCGGCUCUAACACAGUCCGGGAAUGACGGUACC